AGUGAACGCUGGCGGUAGGCCUAACACAUGCAAGUCGAACGGCAGCACAGUAAGAGCUUGCUCUUACGGGUGGCGAGUGGCGGACGGGUGAGGAAUACAUCGGAAUCUACUUUUUCGUGGGGGAUAACGUAGGGAAACUUACGCUAAUACCGCAUACGACCUACGGGUGAAAGCAGGGGAUCUUCGGACCUUGCGCGAUUGAAUGAGCCGAUGUCGGAUUAGCUAGUUGGCGGGGUAAAGGCCCACCAAGGCGACGAUCCGUAGCUGGUCUGAGAGGAUGAUCAGCAAAACUGGAACUGAGACACGGUCCAGACUCCUACGGGAGGCAGCAGUGGGGAAUAUUGGACAAUGGGCGCAAGCCUGAGCCAGCCAUACCGCGUGGGUGAAGAAGGCCUUCGGGUUGUAAAGCCCUUUUGUUGGGAAAGAAAAGCAGCAGGUUAAUACCCCGCUGUUCUGACGGGACCCAAAGAAUAAGCACCGGCUAACUUCGU
rnacentral:rRNA from 1 species